rnacentral:rRNA from 1 species
GGCCGCGUCGACGGCGGCGUGCCUAAUACAUGCAAGUAGAACGCUGAAGAGAGGAGCUUGCUCUUCUUGGAUGAGUUGCGAACGGGUGAGUAACGCGUAGGUAACCUGCCUUGUAGCGGGGGAUAACUAUUGGAAACGAUAGCUAAUACCGCAUAACAAUGGAUGACACAUGUCAUUUAUUUGAAAGGGGCAAUUGCUCCACUACAAGAUGGACCUGCGUUGUAUUAGCUAGUAGGUGAGGUAACGGCUCACCUAGGCGACGAUACAUAGCCGACCUGAGAGGGUGAUCGGCCACACUGGGACUGAGACACGGCCCAGACUCCUACGGGAGGCAGCAGUAGGGAAUCUUCGGCAAUGGGGGCAACCCUGACCGAGCAACGCCGCGUGAGUGAAGAAGGUUUUCGGAUCGUAAAGCUCUGUUGUAAGUCAAGAACGAGUGUGAGAGUGGAAAGUUCACACUGUGACGGUAGCUUACCGAGAAACGGGACGGCUAACUACGUGCCAGCAGCCGCGGUAAUACGUAGGUCCCGUAGG